rnacentral:rRNA from 1 species
GCCAGACUCCUACGGGAGGCAGCAGUGGGGGAUAUUGCACAAUGGGGGAAACCCUGAUGCAGCGACGCCGCGUGAGUGAAGAAGUAUUUCGGUAUGUAAAGCUCUAUCAGCAGGGAAGAAAAAAGACGGUACCUGACUAAGAAGCCCCGGCUAACUACGUACCAGCAGCCGCGGUAAUACGUAGGGGGCAAGCGUUAUCCGGAUUUACUGGGUGUAAAGGGAGCGUAGACGGCAAUACAAGUCGGAAGUGAAAUACCCGGGCUCAACCUGGGAACUGCUUUGGAAACUGUAUGGCUGGAGUGCUGGAGAGGUAAGCGGAAUUCCUAGUGUAGCGGUGAAAUGCGUAGAUAUUAGGAGGAACACCAGUGGCGAAGGCGGCUUACUGGACAGUAACUGACGUUGAGGCUCGAAAGCGCGGGGAGCAAACAGGAUUAGAUACCCGAGUA